AUUGAACGCUGGCGGCAUGCUUUACACAUGCAAGUCGAACGGUAACAGGCCGCAAGGUGCUGACGAGUGGCGAACGGGCGAGUAAUGCAUCGGAACGUGCCCAGUCGUGGGGGAUAACUACUCGAAAGAGUAGCUAAUACCGCAUACGAUCUAUGGAUGAAAGCGGGGGACCGUAAGGCCUCGCGCGAUUGGAGCGGCCGAUGUCAGAUUAGGUAGUGGGUGGGGUUAAGGCUCACCAAGCCAACGAUCUGUAGCUGGUCUGGGAGGACGACCAGCCACACUGGGACUGAGACACGGCCCAGACUCCUACGGGAGGCAGCAGUCGGGAAUUUUGGACAGUGGGCGCGAGCCUGAUCCAGCAAUGCCGCGUGCAGGAAGAAGGCCUUCGGGUUGUAAACUGCUUUUGUACGGAGCGAAACGGCUCUGGUUAAUACCCGGGGCUAAUGACGGUACCGGAAGAAUAAGCACCGGCUAACUACGUG
rnacentral:rRNA from 1 species